rnacentral:rRNA from 1 species
GACGAACGCUGGCGGCGUGCCUAAUACAUGCAAGUAGAACGCUGAAGGGAGGAGCUUGCUCUUCUUGGAUGAGUUGCGAACGGGUGAGUAACGCGUAGGUAACCUGCCUUGUAGCGGGGGAUAGCUAUUGGAAACGAUAGCUAAUACCGCAUAACAAUGGAUGACCCAUGUCAUUUAUUUGAAAGGGGCAAAUGCUCCACUACAAGAUGGACCUGCGUUGUAUUAGCUAGUAGGUGAGGUAACGGCUCACCUAGGCGACGAUACAUAGCCGACCUGAGAGGGUGAUCGGCCACACUGGGACUGAGACACGGCCCAGACUCCUACGGGAGGCAGCAGUAGGGAAUCUUCGGCAAUGGGGGCAACCCUGACCGAGCAACGCCGCGUGAGUGAAGAAGGUUUUCGGAUCGUAAAGCUCUGUUGUAAGUCAAGAACGAGUGUGAGAGUGGAAAGUUCACACUG